rnacentral:rRNA from 1 species
AUUGAACGCUGGCGGCAUGCUUUACACAUGCAAGUCGAACGGCAGCGCGGGCUUCGGCCUGGCGGCGAGUGGCGAACGGGUGAGUAAUAUAUCGGAACGUACCCAAGAGUGGGGGAUAACGUAGCGAAAGUUACGCUAAUACCGCAUACGAUCUAAGGAUGAAAGCAGGGGACCGCAAGGCCUUGCGCCCCUGGAGCGGCCGAUAUCUGAUUAGCUAGUUGGUGAGGUAAAGGCUCACCAAGGCAACGAUCAGUAGCUGGUCUGAGAGGACGAGCAGCCACACUGGAACUGAGACACGGUCCAGACUCCUACGGGAGGCAGCAGUGGGGAAUUUUGGACAAUGGGGGCAACCCUGAUCCAGCAAUGCCGCGUGAGUGAAGAAGGCCUUCGGGUUGUAAAGCUCUUUUGUCAGGGAAGAAAAGGCUGUGGCUAAUAUCCACAGCUGCUGACGGUACCUGAAGAAUAAGCACCGGCUAACUACGUGCCAGCCGCCGCGGUAACAC